GGAAAGGCGAAAAGAACCCCGGCGAGGGGAGUGAAAAAGAACCUGAAACCGUGUACGUACAAGCAGUAGGAGCCCCAUCACUCAAGUGCCUCGCACUGAGUGAUGCAAUAACACCACCGAAAAUAGCGCCGAAUUUGCUAACAAGGUUGGUCGAUUUUUUCAAGCCGUCGCGCAGUGUACCUAGAAGUACACGAGCAACGGAAGUUAAAAAAUCGGGCAAGAUUGAACGCAAAGGCAAGCGGGACAUUUGAGGAUGGGGUGACUGCGUACCUUUUGUAUAAUGGGUCAGCGACUUAUAUUCUGUAGCAAGGUUAACCGUAUAGGGGAGCC
rnacentral:rRNA from 1 species